GGGGCCUCCGGUGGGAAGGGGACGGCGGGAGGGGAUUGGCUGGCGCGCUGAGCCUCCGGGGGGGAGGGGCAGGCGAGAGCGCGGUAAAUGGCGUUGUUGGUACCUUCAGUCACAUCCUGCUCUCCGGCGUCCGCGGCUGCCCCACCCGCUGCUACUGUCGCCCAAGAAACGCCGCUUCUGGUCUGACCUGGCCACGAAUACCAUCAUAGUGCCAGAAAUGGGCUGGUUUUCCCUUUGUUGUGCAAAAGGAUGGUGUCCUUGAGGAAUGUUUGGAGGCUCUUAGCAACCAGGAAUCAUCUGGAAGCGUAUCUGGUGUCAGCUCAGUUGUGUUCUUAACAUUUCAACUAGAGGUACCUGAUCUUCAGAAGUUCAUCCAUUACCAAAAGUGUAUAAACCUCAAGAUAAGAAUACCUUUACUGAAGAGUGAUCUCUAUGCUCAUGAGGCUGAAACUCAUGACUCCAAGAGCAAGAGUCGCGUGCUCUACGGACUGAGCCAACCAGCCAGCUAUCACCUCCCCAGUAAAGCUAUUUUUAAAAAGGAAAAGGCAUUUCAAGAUUUUAACACACCCAUACCAGUAAGUUGUGGCUAGUCUUUGGACUGGCUCUCCCAUUAAUGGUAUGAAACUGAAGGGUGGUCAGGUAUCUCCCUACAUCUGGAUUUUUUCAUCUGUAAAAUGGAGAGUCAAUGAUUUCUUCAAAGCUUUCCAGAUAAGUUAUUUUCCUUGUCAAAGGAAAAUAAUUCAUAUUCAUAAUUCAUAUUACCCUCUUCACCAGCUCAUAAGGCCUUCAUUGCCCCAACACAUAUUUAUCAUUCUUAUACUCCUCAGGAGGGAUGGCAGCCCUUCUGAUUUUGUCCUUGCCAGCUAGUUCUUUCUUAUCCUAUAAUCUUUCUGCCUUACAUCCCCAUCCCAUUUUUGUGUUCCCUUUUGCCUGAUCUCUUACUGUGUGUUAGAAAAGGCCCUAGACUUAGAAUCGAAAGGCCUUCAUUUGAAUCCUAACUCGGCAACAUCCUAGUUUCCAUGACUUGGAGUUGGUUAUUUAAACAUCUAUGAAUCUUGGUUCUAUUACCUAUAAAAUGGAGACAAAAAUGCCAACCCACGGUUUGUGACAGAGUGUAGAUGAAUCAUGAAUCUGAAGAAGUUUUGUAAACCACAUAGCAUUGUAUAGGUGACAGGCAAUA